rnacentral:rRNA from 1 species
AUAUCAGUAAGCAGAGGAAAAGAAAUUAACUAAGAUUGCCUCAGUAGCGGCGAGCGAACCGGCAAAAGCUCAAACUUAAAAUCUGGGGUCUUCGGCCUCCGAAUUGUAAUCUAAAGAGUAUGACAAAAGGUUGGAUAAAGGAAUAAGUCUCUUGGAACAGAGCACCAAAGAGGGUGACAGUCCCGUAUUGGUCCUUUUGAAAGCCGAAUGUCUAAGCUCAUAGAGUCGGGUUGUUUGGGAUUGCAGCCCUAAAUGGGAGAUAAACUUCUUCUAAGGCUAAAUAUUUAUGGGAGACCGAUAGCGCACAAGUA